GACGAACGCUGGCGGCGUGCUUAACACAUGCAAGUCGAGCGGUAAGGCCCUUUCGGGGGUACACGAGCGGCGAACGGGUGAGUAACACGUGGGUGACCUGCCCCUGACUCUGGGAUAACCCCGGGAAACCGGAGCUAAUACCGGAUACUCUCGGCCAACCACAUGGUCGGCCGAGGAAAGAUCUGUCGGUCGGGGAUGGGCCCGCGGCCUAUCAGCUUGUUGGUGGGGUAACGGCCUACCAAGGCGACGACGGGUAGCUGGUCUGAGAGGACGACCAGCCACACUGGAACUGAGAUACGGUCCAGACUCCUACGGGAGGCAGCAGUGGGGAAUAUUGCACAAUGGGCGAAAGCCUGAUGCAGCGACGCCGCGUGAGGGAUGACGGCCCUCGGGUUGUAAACCUCUUUCGGCAGGGACGAAGCGCAAGUGACGGUACCUGCAGAAGAAGU
rnacentral:rRNA from 1 species